rnacentral:rRNA from 1 species
AACGGCAGCACAGAAGAGCUUGCUCUUUGGGUGGCGAGUGGCGGACGGGUGAGUAAUGUCUGGGAAACUGCCCGAUGGAGGGGGAUAACUACUGGAAACGGUAGCUAAUACCGCAUAACGUCGCAAGACCAAAGUGGGGGACCUUCGGGCCUCACACCAUCGGAUGUGCCCAGAUGGGAUUAGCUAGUAGGUGGGGUAAUGGCUCACCUAGGCGACGAUCCCUAGCUGGUCUGAGAGGAUGACCAGCCACACUGGAACUGAGACACGGUCCAGACUCCUACGGGAGGCAGCAGUGGGGAAUAUUGCACAAUGGGCGCAAGCCUGAUGCAGCCAUGCCGCGUGUAUGAAGAAGGCCUUCGGGUUGUAAAGUACUUUCAGCGGGGAGGAAGGCGGUGAGGUUAAUACCCUCGCCGAUUGACGUUACCCGCAGAAGAAGCACCGGCUAACUCCGUGCCAGCAGCCGCGGUAAUACGGAGGGUGCAAGCGUUAAUCGGAAUUACUGGGCGUAAAGCGCACGCAGGCGGUCUGUUAAGUCAGAUGUGAAAUCCCCGGGCUUAACCUGGGAACUGCAUUUGAAACUGGCAGGCUUGAGUCUCGUAGAGGGGGGUAGAAUUCCAGGUGUAGCGGUGAAAUGCGUAGAGAUCUGGAGGAAUACCGGUGGCGAAGGCGGCCCCCUGGACGAAGACUGACGCUCAGGUGCGAGAGCGUGUGGAGCAAACAGGAUUAGAUACCCUGGUAGUCCACGCCGUAAACGAUGUCGACUUGGAGGUUGUGCCCUUGAGGCGUGGCUUCCGGAGCUAACGCGUUAAGUCGACCGCCUGGGGAGUACGGCCGCAAGGUUAGAACUCAUAUGAAUUGACGGGGGCCCGCACAAGCGGUGGAGCAUGUGGUUUAAUUCUAUGCAACGCGAAGAACCUUACCUGGCCUUGACAUCCAGAGAACUUAGCAGAGAUGCUUUGGUGCCUUCGGGAACUCUGAGACAGGUGCUGCAUGGCUGUCGUCAGCUCGUGUUGUGAAAUGUUGGGUUAAGUCCCGCAACGAGCGCAACCCUUAUCCUUUGUUGCCAGCGGUUCGGUCGGGAACUCAAAGGAGACUGCCGGUGAUAAACCGGAGGAAGGUGGGGAUGACGUCAAGUCAUCAUGGCCCUUACGGCCAGGGCUACACACGUGCUACAAUGGCGCAUACAAAGAGAAGCGACCUCGCGAGAGCAAGCGGACCUCAUAAAGUGCGUCGUAGUCCGGAUUGGAGUCUGCAACUCGACUCCAUGAAGUCGGAAUCGCUAGUAAUCGUAGAUCAGAAUGCUACGGUGAAUACGUUCCCGGGCCUUGU